rnacentral:lncRNA from 1 species
UCCAUCUCCUCUUGUAAAGCAUAUGCUGCUGUUUCUUCUCUCCUCUGUCACCAUAGGAAAAUAAGGUUGAAAUGUUGACUGUCUUGAUCAUGUGGAGACCCUGUGCUCUGAGUUUAUGGAUGCAAUAGUCUUUUCAUGUCUAAAAGACUAUAUUUCCAGCAUUGCUUCUUAAUAAUUGGUUCUUAUAAUCAUUUUGCCUUCUCUUCUGCAUUGUUCCCAGAGCCUGGAGAGGUGGCACUUGGUCAUCAGAAUCUGAAUACAAGAACUCAUAAGUCGUGAUGUGCCAGCCACAUUUCCCAGGUCAUCCACAGUGAUCAUCUCCUGAGUGAGGGACUAGACUAUUACUCUAUCACUCAGGAGGAAGAAGCAAAAUAAAUCCUGAGUUUGAAGGCAGUAUGGGCUCCACAAUGACUUCUAUGGAAACACUAUCUCAAAGAAACAAGCAGACAGAAGUGAAAAAAGGCAGAAUGGAAGAAAGGAAGGAAACAACCUUAAAUGGCAUGUGUUGUGGGUAGGAAAAUGGAAGGAGUAGAUCAGAGCAAGAAACUGAGAGAACACAUCUCCUACCAAAGAAAGUGAACUGGUAGUAGUGUGAAGCUAUAUCCACACAAAGCAUGACUUAGUAAUGUACUUCCUUCAGAUACACUGUGCCCCUUAAAGGUACCUUGACUUUUUUGAUCCAGAAGCACCAGCCAGAGACCAAGUGCUCAA